rnacentral:lncRNA from 1 species
UUGGGGAAGGACUCACCCACGUGUGCCCACAAGAAGAACCCUGCAAAGAAAGAUCAUGAUGUCCAGGACUCACCAACACACGCCAUGCUGACGACCAUGAGCGACAUGGUGCUGCCGGUGCAGACAGGCGGCCGCGCCCCAGCUCAGCUCAGCAGCGCACAGGAUGUUAUUUGGCGCCCUGCCCAUGCAGCUUACAUGUUGACUACAUCAUGGGAGGGUGACGUACGCAGGCUCUUUCUACCUUGCAUGAGGCCCAGUGGAUGCUUGCUCAAGAGCGGAACACGGCUUCCUGGAAAUUGUUCUCACUAGAAUUGGCACCUCACGUCCUUCACUAUGACCAACUCACAACACGUCUCAGAUCCAACCUCCCGAACACGAGAUGCCUAAAAUCUGUGCUAACAUGAAAGACUUUUCAUGUAUUUUUUUUGUUUUUAUCUGAGAUUCAAACUCUUCUUCCUGUGUAAUAUGCAAAGUAUCUAAUAGGUAUUAUUAAUGUUUUCGGAGUCAUUGUGACUAAUAAACCAUUAGAAUUUUU